rnacentral:rRNA from 1 species
GAUGAACGCUGGCGGCGUGCCUAAUACAUGCAAGUCGAGCGAACAGACGAGGAGCUUGCUCCUCUGACGUUAGCGGCGGACGGGUGAGUAACACGUGGAUAACCUACCUAUAAGACUGGGAUAACUUCGGGAAACCGGAGCUAAUAGCGGAUAAUAUAUUGAACCGCAUGGUUCAAUAGUGAAAGACGGUUUUGCUGUCACUUAUAGAUGGAUCCGCGCCGCAUUAGCUAGUUGGUAAGGUAACGGCUUACCAAGGCGACGAUGCGUAGCCGACCUGAGAGGGUGAUCGGCCACACUGGAACUGAGACACGGUCCAGACUCCUACGGGAGGCAGCAGUAGGGAAUCUUCCGCAAUGGGCGAAAGCCUGACGGAGCAACGCCGCGUGAGUGAUGAAGGUCUUCGGAUCGUAAAACUCUGUUAUUAGGGAAGAACAAAUGUGUAAGUAACUAUGCACGUCUUGACGGUACCUAAUCAGAAAGCCACGGCUAACUACGUG